rnacentral:rRNA from 1 species
GAUGAACGCUGGCGGCGUGCCUAAUACAUGCAAGUCGAGCGAACAGACGAGGAGCUUGCUCCUCUGACGUUAGCGGCGGACGGGUGAGUAACACGUGGAUAACCUACCUAUAAGACUGGGAUAACUUCGGGAAACCGGAGCUAAUACCGGAUAAUAUAUUGAACCGCAUGGUUCAAUAGUGAAAGACGGUUUUGCUGUUACUUAUAGAUGGCUCCGCGCCGCAUUAGCUAGUUGGUAAGGUAACGGCUUACCAAGGCAACGAUGCGUAGCCGACCUGAGAGGGUGAUCGGCCACACUGGAACUGAGACACGGUCCAGACUCCUACGGGAGGCAGCAGUAGGGAAUCUUCCGCAAUGGGCGAAAGCCUGACGGAGCAACGCCGCGUGAGUGAUGAAGGUCUUCUGAUCGUAAAACUCUGUUAUUAGGGAAGAACAAAUGUGUAAGUAACUAUGCACGUCUUGACGGUACCUAAUCAGAAAGCCACGGCUAACUACGUG